rnacentral:rRNA from 1 species
AUUGAACGCUGGCGGCAGGCCUAACACAUGCAAGUCGAGCGGGGUUUUCGGACCUAGCGGCGGACGGGUGAGUAAUGCGUAGGAAGCUGCCCGAUAGAGGGGGAUACCAGUUGGAAACGACUGUUAAUACCGCAUAAUGUCUACGGACCAAAGUGUGGGACCUUCGGGCCACAUGCUAUCGGAUGCGCCUACGUGGGAUUAGCUAGUUGGUGAGGUAAUGGCUCACCAAGGCGACGAUCUCUAGCUGGUUUGAGAGGAUGAUCAGCCACACUGGAACUGAGACACGGUCCAGACUCCUACGGGAGGCAGCAGUGGGGAAUAUUGGACAAUGGGCGCAAGCCUGAUCCAGCCAUGCCGCGUGUGUGAAGAAGGCCUUCGGGUUGUAAAGCACUUUCAGUAGGGAGGAAGGGUGUUGUGUUAAUAGCACAGCAUUUUGACGUUACCUACAGAAGAAGCACCGGCUAACUCUGUGCCAGCAGCCGCCGUAAAAC